rnacentral:miRNA from 1 species
UUAAGUAGAUUCUAUUUGGCUA